rnacentral:rRNA from 1 species
UGGGGAAUAUUGGACAAUGGGCGCAAGCCUGAUCCAGCAAUACCGCGUGAGUGAUGAAGGCCUUCGGGUUGUAAAGCUCUUUUAGUGGGGAAGAUAAUGACGGUACCCACAGAAAAAGCACCGGCAAACUUCGUGCCAGCAGCCGCGGUAAUACGAAGGGUGCUAGCGUUGUUCGGAAUUAUUGGGCGUAAAGCGUAUGUAGGUGGUUUUGUAAGUCAGUUGUGAAAGCCCUGGGCUUAACCCAGGAACUGCAACUGAAACUGCUUUACUUGAGUUUGGUAGGGGAUAGUGGAAUUCCUAGUGUAGGGGUGAAAUCCGUAGAUAUUAGGAGGAAUACCAAUGGCGAAGGCAACUAUCUGGGCCAACACUGACGCUGAGAUACGAAAGCGUGGGGAGCAAACAGGAUUAGAUACCCAAGUAGUCCCUGAGCGGGCUGGCAAGGCGCAU